AGCGGAUUAGCGGCGGACGGGUGAGUAACACGUGAGUAACCUGCCUUAGACAUUGGGAUAGCCUCGGGAAACCGGGAUUAAUACCAAGUAAAAUCAUAAUGACACAUGUCAUAACGAUCAAAACUCCGGUGGUCUAAGAUGGACUCGCGUCCCAUUAGCUAGUUGGUAGAGUAAAAGCCUACCAAGGCGACGAUGGGUAGCCGGCCUGAGAGGGUGAACGGCCACAUUGGAACUGAGAAACGGUCCAA
rnacentral:rRNA from 1 species